UUUUUUUUUUUUUCCUUUUCACGUGCUUUCUACUCAUGUGUGUUAAUCUUAUUAACAGUAAUACAUGCCUUAAUAUGCUUUACUUCAUCUCUUACAGGUGGUUAAUAUAUGAAGAUCUUUGCCAGGAGGAACAAGAAAAGGAAGUUAAAGGUGCCGUGUUCUUGAGGAGAUGGAUACUGAAAGAUGGGAGAAGAAAAAUCAUUGGGAAGGUUCCUGUGAAAAACAGAAGUGGAAGCUGGAUGUGGUGGGAGUCUGACUAUAAGAGAUGCUGUCCACCUCAGGUGGUAAGGAUGGUCUUCUCCUUGUCAGUCCAGAUGCACCUUCCAUGAGGUGUACUGGGUGGGAUGAUUUCCACAUCUGCUGUUCUUGCAACAUAUGCAGUUAGGGGGAAUGGUAUGCUGGAGUCAAGCCUAAGUAGGUGAUGGUGGAUUGCUGGGUUAAAUACUGAG
rnacentral:lncRNA from 1 species